AUCACAGCCUUCCCCUGAUCUGCCCCUUUAAGAAAAAUCAGCCCUCUCCGCUCCUCACCCUCCGCACACUGACCUUACACACUGGACAAUAUUUAAGGAUCAAGGUGCCAUCCUAUAAAGAGAAGAAAUCGCUGGCUCCUCUGGCCAUGAAAAAAACACCGUGUAAAUUGCCAUUUCAGAUUUUUCAAAAAACAUGUUCAGCUCUAAGAAUUCUUCCGAAUUCGUUACACUCCGCCGCGCGAGGCUGCGCCUUGAUGGCCCCGGCGAAGGUGGAGGAACGAACUACCCAUUAAUUUAAGAGAUUUGGGUUGAAACCUCAGAACACUGUGAUGGGAGCAGUGAGGAGACAAACCCUGACACACUCUCAGAGUUCUGCUCUUUGCCUUCAGAAGCCCCAAGUUUCACACAGACCCUCCCAUAACUUCUAUUAACACACAGAGGGCAUGUCAAACAUUUAGAAACAAGGUCAUCACGUUUCUCAGCCUUACUGGUGGCUUUUUAGCCCACGAAUUUCCCACAUGAGAGCUCUUGGCAGUCCCACAGGAGCGCCACAGGUUUGUUGUUGAAAAUAAGUGAGGUGCAGCUCGUGAUAAGACAAUCAAUGAACAGUUAAAAUCCAAGCUCCAAAGACAUGGUUAGAAAAUUAAAUGCAAAUAUAUACAAACUAGUCAAUGGUUUCUAUGAACAUAAAUGUCUGUCUACCUCAUGACUGCUAUUUUCCAGCCAGCUUUCCAACCAGUGCAGUCUUUGCACUUCUCUAUCUACAAUUGUACCAUUUAUAAGCCAGGAGCCCACCUCGCCCAUGUGCUUGUUCCUACAGUGACUCAUGUUCCACUGGGUUUUAUUCCUGGGAAGACUUGUGCUGAACCAGAGGAAAGAGCAGAACCUUUGGGGAAGGAAUGGCACGGUUUGGAAAGCAUCAGACACACUCACUGCUCCCUGUCAGAAAAUGAAAGCUCUGGUUUACAUCUCAUGUGAGAAA